CCUGCUAAGUUUAAGCAUACUAGCUUAAGUGUAGGAAAAAAAACUUGCAAGGAUGAACCCUUAGUAAUGACAAGAACAUCAAGAAGAGCGUAACAUGAAAAUCCAUUGGCAACAUCCCUUGAAUUAGCAUGAAAAUCCGUUGGGAGUGUCCCUUGAAUUGUAGUUUGUAAAAGCAUUCUCAACGGUGAAUUGACCCACCCACGUAUCCUAGAGGGGCGUGCUUGAGAAGGUGAUUUCCUCGUCAGCCCUACACCUUAUCACACCAUGAGACAUCAUCUUCGAGUUGGGUUGUUGGGAAUGCAACAUUACUUGGGUGGUAAAUUAUGUCCAACGCUAAAUACAAGUGAAACUUCGAUAAAGAUCCAAUACCACGAGGGAAAGAUAAAAAGGACUUUGAAAAGAAAGUUAACGAGUGCUUGAAAUUGUUAAAAUGGAAGUGGAUGGACACUGGCAGUGCAUCUCCAUUGGAUGCAAAACAAUUUAUGCAUGUUCAUCAUUCAACUUGGGGUGUAAAUUAAUCAUAAGGGUUAUCUUAAAUGGUUUUGAGCUAGACGUAAAGCUAUUUUCAACUGAAAAGAUAGGUCAUGAGUUUGAAUUUCUUGUUCCCCUUGAGAUUAGACCAAAACCACUUUAGAAUUUCCCACAAGAUUUUACCUUAAAAAAAAA
rnacentral:ncRNA from 1 species